AGUUCAGAUUAUCACAAUACGUAAGAUAACAUUCCGCGUAUAAAAAGCUUACGACAAUUUCAUUUCGACCAUAGUGUGUUAUUGAACCGACUACAUAUUUUUCACCCACAAAAUGAACAAAGUUUUUAUUUUAUUCGUGUUGGCGGUUGCAUUCGUUGCCCAUGCUCACUGUCACGCUCUGAAGGUUGAGAGCAGAUUAGCUUGCGGAGCUAAUGAACGUCUGAACGAUUGUGCUCCCGAUAGAGCCUGUGAUAUCACUUGCGCAAACCAGAACGAACAGCUCUUUUGCAUGCCAUCAUGUGAAGAACGAUGUACCUGCAUCGAUGGAUUCGUCAGAAACGCUGCUAAUGCUUGCAUUGCUCGAGCCAGUUGUUAAAAACGGAUAUUCAUUUUAAAACUUAACGAAAAAUAAAAUUUGC